UCACAGUCCAGAGGCGCAGGCUCACUAGGGGACGGAGCGCACCCUAGGACGGCAGGGUGUCUCCCCGCUCCCCGCACCUGCCCUCCGCCUUACCAGAGGCCUGCUUCCAGCAGUUCCUUUUACCCGAGUAUCUCGGAACCAAGGACACACAGAGACUCAGAGAGGAGGAUGCAGCCUGCACAUGGUGUUUUUCACAGUUAUUUGGCCAUUCAGCUUCCCUCUGGCCUCCGCCAAGAGUGACUCAGAUAUUCUGCAGCAAUACUCCUCAGAGCAUAUUUUGUUUCUCCGUCAUCAAGUGAGGCUUUUCAGUUCCCGUAACUUCCGAGUCGACUCCAAGAAGCUUUUCCAGUUAAGGUUAUGGAACCCCAGGGAGCUGCACAUUUCCGAGUCCGCCUGGCUCUGCACGGCUAUUCUGUGAGUCAGAUCAUGGAAUCGGGGAAUCUGAGAGCUGGAAGGGGCCUUCGAGAUUGUUCUGCGCAAGCCCCUCAGUUUCUGGAUGGGGAGCCAGCACUGUCGGCCAAGACCACACUGCUUUUUCGUGGGGAACCAGGGCGGGGAUCCGUGGUCCGGCCCCGGACCAGGGCGCCUCCCUCUGCACCAGGUUGUCAGUCUCUCUUUAGGAACUUCGGGAAACUCAGCAGAAGGUGUCUUUCCUCUGGGUAGCAGGCUGUGCUGGAAAACCAGGGAGCUCGGCUGCCUCUGUGCCAGUUGUCAGGACCACCCAGUCACUCAGGCUACCGCAUCACUUUCCAGUGACAUUCAUCAUCAGGACGUCCAAUCAGAGGCUCUAGGGAGUGAGGCAGAGAUGGAGAAGGUUGUUGCAGGAAUUCCUAAAGAAGAAAAAGAAUUCCUCUACGGGGAGGGGCCGUUCCCAAGUCAUCACCAUGUUCUUGUCUCUGGGCAGUACUGGAGCCAAAUGUGCUUAUUGCUGGAAACAUCAGGGGUAGCGAUGCGUCAUUAAUAAGAUCAUAAUAGUCAUGUUAGCAGAAGUUUGAUGGCAACCUGACCUUGCCUGAGCGUUCUCAAAAGACACCCGAGUUUUUCCAGUUCUGGGUCUGACACUGGGACGGUGAUUUCUCUUUCCUGAGCGUCAGGCUUGCCGUGUUCAGUGUGCAGGUUCUGCUGCUGGCUUCCAGGAGAGGAGCAGCUUAAGGAGAUGACAGAACUUGGACCAGAGUCGACAUCUCCUGUACGAAAAAUAAAUUGGCUUCGAGGUUGUACCUGACAGACUAAUAGAAUCACGCCUUCUCUCCCUCCC